UACGGAGGAUCCAAGCGUUAUCCGGAAUCAUUGGGUUUAAAGGGUCCGUAGGCGGCCCGGUAAGUCAGUGGUGAAAUCUCCCCGCUCAACGGGGAAACUGCCAUUGAUACUGCCGGGCUUGAAUUAUUGUGAAGUGACUAGAAUAUGUAGUGUAGCGGUGAAAUGCUUAGAGAUUACAUGGAAUACCGAUUGCGAAGGCAGGUCACUAACAAUGGAUUGACGCUGAUGGACGAAAGCGUGGGGAGCGAACAGGAUUAGAUACCCUGGUAGUCCACGCCGUAAACGAUGGAUACUAGCUGUCCGGACGCAAGUCUGGGUGGCUAAGCGAAAGUGAUAAGUAUCCCACCUGGGGAGUACGAACGCAAGUUUGAA
rnacentral:rRNA from 1 species